rnacentral:rRNA from 1 species
GACGAACGCUGGCGGCGUGCUUAACACAUGCAAGUCGAACGAAGUGGGGAACGGGUGAGUAACGCGUAAUCAACCUGCCCUUCAGAGGGGUACAACAGUUGGAAACGGCUGCUAAUCCCGCCUACUGAAGGAGGUGAAUGAGUCGGAUUAGCUAGUUGGAGGGGUAACGGCCCACCUAGGCGAGGGUCAGUAGCCGGGUUGAGAGGAUGAACGGCCAUAAGUGGACGUAGACACGGACCAGACUUCUACUGGAGGCAGCAGUGGGGAAUCGUCCGCAAUGGACGAAAGUCUGACGGAGCAACGCCGCGUGAGUGAUGACGGCCUUCGGGUUGUAAAGCUCUGUUAAUCGGGACGCGGUACCGGAAUAGAAAGCCACGUCUAACUACGUGCCAGCAGCCGCGGUAAUUC